rnacentral:rRNA from 1 species
GUGGGGAAUAUUGGACAAUGGGCGAAAGCCUGAUCCAGCCAUGCCGCGUGUGCGAAGAAGGUCUUCGGAUUGUAAAGCACUUUAAGUUGGGAGGAAGGGCAGUAAGUUAAUACCUUGCUGUUUUGACGUUACCGACAGAAUAAGCACCGGCUAACUUCGUGCCAGCAGCCGCGGUAAUACGAAGGGUGCAAGCGUUAAUCGGAAUUACUGGGUGUAAAGCGCGCGUAGGUGGUUUUGUAAGUUGGAGGUGAAAUCCCCGGGCUCAACCUGGGAACUGCCUCCAAAACUGCAUGACUAGAGUACGGUAGAGGGUAGUGGAAUUUCCUGUGUAGCGGUGAAAUGCGUAGAUAUAGGAAGGAACACCAGUGGCGAAGGCGACUACCUGGACUGAUACUGACACUGAGGUGCGAAAGCGUGGGGAGCAAACAGGAUUAGAAACCCGGGUAGUCC